rnacentral:rRNA from 1 species
UACGGAGGGGGCUAGCGUUGUUCGGAAUUACUGGGCGUAAAGCGCACGUAGGCGGCUUUGUAAGUUAGAGGUGAAAGCCCGGGGCUCAACCCCGGAAUUGCCUUUAAGACUGCAUCGCUAGAAUUGUGGAGAGGUAAGUGGAAUUCCGAGUGUAGAGGUGAAAUUCGUAGAUAUUCGGAAGAACACCAGUGGCGAAGGCGACUUACUGGACACAUAUUGACGCUGAGGUGCGAAAGCGUGGCGAGCAAACAGG